GCAAGUCGAACGAUGAAGCCUAGCUUGCUGGGUGGAUUAGUGGCGAACGGGUGAGUAACACGUGAGUAACCUGCCCUUGACUCUGGGAUAAGCACUGGAAACGGUGUCUAAUACCGGAUAUUUCAACCGUCCGCAUGGUCUGGUUGUGGAAAGAAUUUUGGUCAAGGAUGGACUCGCGGCCUAUCAGGUAGUUGGUGAGGUAAUGGCUCACCAAGCCUACGACGGGUAGCCGGCCUGAGAGGGUGACCGGCCACACUGGGACUGAGACACGGCCCAGACUCCUACGGGAGGCAGCAGUGGGGAAUAUUGCACAAUGGGCGAAAGCCUGAUGCAGCAACGCCGCGUGAGGGACGACGGCCUUCGGGUUGUAAACCUCUUUUAGUAGGGAAGAAGCGAAAGUGACGGUACCUGCAGAAAAAGCACCGGCUAACUACGUGCCAGCAGCCGCGGUAAUACGUAGGGUGCAAGCGUUGUCCGGAAUUAUUGGGCGUAAAGAGCUCGUAGGCGGUUUGUCGCGUCUGCUGUGAAAACUGGAGGCUCAACCUCCAGCCUGCAGUGGGUACGGGCAGACUAGAGUGCGGUAGGGGAGAUUGGAAUUCCUGGUGUAGCGGUGGAAUGCGCAGAUAUCAGGAGGAACACCGAUGGCGAAGGCAGAUCUCUGGGCCGUAACUGACGCUGAGGAGCGAAAGCAUGGGGAGCGAACAGGAUUAGAUACCCUGGUAGUCCAUGCCGUAAACGUUGGGAACUAGAUGUGGGGGCCAUUCCACGGUCUCCGUGUCGCAGCUAACGCAUUAAGUUCCCCGCCUGGGGAGUACGGCCGCAAGGCUAAAACUCAAAGGAAUUGACGGGGGCCCGCACAAGCGGCGGAGCAUGCGGAUUAAUUCGAUGCAACGCGAAGAACCUUACCAAGGCUUGACAUAUACGAGAACGGGCCAGAAAUGGUCAACUCUUUGGACACUCGUAAACAGGUGGUGCAUGGUUGUCGUCAGCUCGUGUCGUGAGAUGUUGGGUUAAGUCCCGCAACGAGCGCAACCCUCGUUCUAUGUUGCCAGCACGUUAUGGUGGGAACUCAUAGGAGACUGCCGGGGUCAACUCGGAGGAAGGUGGGGAUGACGUCAAAUCAUCAUGCCCCUUAUGUCUUGGGCUUCACGCAUGCUACAAUGGCCGGUACAAAGGGCUGCAAUACCGUAAGGUGGAGCGAAUCCCAAAAAGCCGGUCUCAGUUCGGAUUGAGGUCUGCAACUCGACCUCAUGAAGUCGGAGUCGCUAGUAAUCGCAGAUCAGCAACGCUGCGGUGAAUACGUUCCCGGGCCUUGUACACACCGCCCGUCAAGUCAUGAAAGUCGGUAACACCCAACGCCGGUGGCCUAACCCGCAAGGGAGG
rnacentral:rRNA from 1 species